AUGGCUUUGCCGGCCUCGAUCUCCCACCUGGCUCACUUGGGACAGAAGCUAUGGCUGCAGGACACAGGGAAAAGCUUCUCUUGCGACGGUUGCCGUGAGCCCGGCAGGGGCGAGAGGUACAGGUGCCAUCCAUGCGACUUCGACCUCCACAAGCAUUGCGCCUUGGACAAGAGCAUGGCUUUGCCAGCCUCGAUCUGCCACCCCGCCCACUUGGGACACAGGCUGUCGCUGGAGGCGACCGAGUACUGGGAGUUCGUGUGCAACGGCUGCCGUGAGAGAGGCGCGGGCGAGAGGUACAGGUGCCGGGCCUGCAGGUUCGACCUCCACAAGCAGUGCGCCUUGGAAGAAGGAACCAAGAUCAUGGCUUUCCCACGCUCCAUCUCGCACCCCGAUCAUUGGGGGCACAAGCUGUCGCUGGAGGCGACUGACUACUGGAAGUUCGUGUGCAAUGGCUGCGGUAAGAGCGGGUUGGGCGAGAGGUACAGGUGCCGGGCCUGCAAAUUUGACCUCCACAAGCAGUGCGCCUGGGGCCAAGGGACCAAGAUCAUGGCCUCCUCAGGCUUGAUCUCCCACUCGGCCCACUUGGAACACAUGCUGACGCUGUGCGCCCCUGGCCUCUCCAACUUCGUGUGA
rnacentral:rRNA from 1 species